rnacentral:misc_RNA from 1 species
AAGUCGUAACAAGGUUUCCGUAGGUGAACCUGCGGAAGAUCAUUAACACGUAUCCAACGUUAAACCCCCCGUGAACCUUUAUUGUGGCACGCCUAUCCGUUAGAAAGUGGAAUCAUCGCCGAGUUUUGAUUCAGGGACUUCUGCGUGGGUAGGACAACUGCGCGAGCAAGUGGCCUGGCAUCCCUCUGCUUGUUAGUGUCUGAAAGUGUCACUACGCAAUCACGAUGGCUACGGCCAGCGACCGGGUCAAUGGGCCCGGCCCCCUAGAUCACCCCUUUGCAUGAAAACGGGCCUGCGCUUAAUUGUGCGGCCACCAAACUCGAACAACUGUUAACAAUGGAUAUCUUGGUUCUC